CAACGCCUUACAGGAUCAACAUCAUCAUCGUCUUCGGGAUCUUCAACGCUUCCGCCAUCAACAUCCGAUCACCCAAUAUUCAGUGAUACUACCAGUGGUGCGAUCUCACCAGCAGCAAGGUUUGCUACAAUAGAGAAAACCAAGCCACCUGCAGAAGUGAAACGACAACAAAUUUAUGAAGAAAACUAUGGAUUUGUACAAGGCAUAGAGAUGAAUCCUGGAGUUGAAAGGAUAAGUUUGUUUCCAGGGAUUUUGUCUCCUGGGCCAACCUCACUGCCUCGGAUAUCACCAAACUUCUUCUCACCACCGUCUGAUCCAAACUCAAC
rnacentral:lncRNA from 1 species